rnacentral:rRNA from 1 species
AUUGAACGCUGGCGGCAGGCCUAACACAUGCAAGUCGAGCGAGCGGCGGACGGGUGAGUAAUGUCUGGGAAACUGCCUGCUGGAGGGGGAUACCUACUGGAAACGGUAGCUAAUACCGCAUACCAUCAGAUGGGCCCAGAUGUGAUUAGCUAGUAGGUGGGGUAACGGCUCACCUAGGCGACGAUCCCUAGCUGGUCUGAGAGGAUGACCGGCCACAUGGGAACUUAGACACGGUCCAUACGCCUACGGGAGGCAGCAGUGGGGAAUAUUGCACAAUGGGCGCAACCCUGAUGCAGCCAUGCCGCGUGUGUGAAGAAGGCCUUCGGUUUGUAAAGCACUUCCAGCGGGGAGGCGUUACCCGCAGAAGAAGCACCGGCUAACUCCGUGCCAGCAGCCGCGGUAAUUC